rnacentral:rRNA from 1 species
GACGAACGCUGGCGGCGUGCUUAACACAUGCAAGUCGAACGGAAAGGCCCUGCUUGCCGGGUACUCGAGUGGCGAACGGGUGAGUAACACGUGGGUGAUCUGCCCUGCACUUCGGGAUAAGCUUGGGAAACUGGGUCUAAUACCGGAUAGGAACCAUCUUUAGUGUGGUGGUUGGAAAGAUUUUUCGGUGUAGGAUGAGCUCGCGGCCUAUCAGCUUGUUGGUGGGGUAAUGGCCUACCAAGGCGGCGACGGGUAGCCGGCCUGAGAGGGUGUACGGCCACAUUGGGACUGAGAUACGGCCCAGACUCCUACGGGAGGCAGCAGGGGGGAAUAUUGCACAAUGGGCGCAAGCCUGAUGCAGCGACGCCGCGUGGGGGAUGAAGGCCUUCGGGUUGGAAACUCCUUUCGCUAGGGACGAAGCUUUUUGUGACGGUACCUAGAUAAGAAGCACCGGCUAACUACGUG